AUGCAUCAUAUAAUAACAGAAUCGAGCCAUCAUAAAAUGUGGGGAAACGUUUUGUAUGUCUCUACCUGUGUAGCUGCGCUGUGCUGGGGAUGUGCUUUGUCCCACACGGAUGGCAAAGACAGCAUGACCCAGCUCCUCACUCUCCCUGGCCGCCCCGUCACCAUGCCUUGCGCAUACCGCUACGAGGACCACGGGGAAGUGCCCCAGCUGUCCGUCCAGUGGCGGGGCCCCCCGGGGAGGGGGCUGCUGUGUCAUUACAUCAAGCACAAGGCCUUCCAGAACUGCACCCCGGGCUACAGCCUCUCGUACCGCCCGGCCAGCAUCCUGCUCACCAUCCAGCAGGUCCAAGCGUGGGACUACGGCACACACGUGUGCUCGGUCAGCAAGCGCCACGACGUGUCGGAUAACAGCGUCCACCUGGCCAUGAGGACGGAGGGGGUCAAUGAAGGACAAAGCAGCGGCCGGCCCCUCCCAGGUCCUACCCAGGGACUGGCUUUCCUCCCUGCCUUGUGGUGGAUUAUGUGUACGUAAAUGGACAGAUGGCCGAUGAGAUGGGCAACCUAUUGGAAGCUAGCUGGGAAGAGACCAUUUCAUUAUGCACCACUAAAACCUGUAUAUUUAACAUAGAAUGAUAGGAAUAAAAGUCUGUGUGGCAUUCUGUUUUGUUUGUUGUUCCAUUGAGGGAUCAGGAUUCUUAAAGGAUCGGGAUUUAGGUUUAAGACAAAAACUGAGGUUGAUGAGUAACUAUUGAGUACACAACCAUUCAUUAGGGCAUGCUGUGGCUAUGGGCUAUACUCAGCUAGAAACACUGCAUUUAACCAUAGUUCUUUUUAAAGAUAAUAUAGCUGAACAACUGACCCAUUUGAACUUAUGGCUAAGACGACGGAGAUGAUGAAAUGUAGGUGAAUAAAUCAGCAACUAUAUCAGAAAUCCUCUCUUCUUUGUGUUCUUUUAUCCAAAGCACCUCAGGUCAUUUUAAGGAGCAUAUAUGGACAAUUGUUAAAGGUACGCUGUGUACAAAGUGG
rnacentral:lncRNA from 1 species